GUUGACCUCGGAUCAGGUAGGAAUACCCGCUGAACUUAAGCAUAUCAAUAAGCGGAGGAAAAGAAACCAACAGGGAUUGCCCCAGUAACGGCGAGUGAAGCGGCAACAGCUCAAAUUUGAAAUCUGGCCCCAGGCCCGAGUUGUAAUUUGCAGAGGAUGCUUUUGGCGCGGUGCCUUCCGAGUUCCCUGGAACGGGACGCCACAGAGGGUGAGAGCCCCGUACGGUUGGACACCAAGCCUUUGUAAAGCUCCUUCGACGAGUCGAGUAGUUUGGGAAUGCUGCUCAAAAUGGGAGGUAUAUUUCUUCUAAAGCUAAAUAUUGGCCAGAGACCGAUAGCGCACAAGUAGAGUGAUCGAAAGAUGAAAAGCACUUUGAAAAGAGGGUUAAACAGCACGUGAAAUUGUUAAAAGGGAAGCGCUUGUGACCAGACUUGCGUCCGGUGAAUCACCCAGCUCUCGCGGCUGGGGCACUUCGCCGGCACAGGCCAGCAUCAGCUUGCCGUCGGGGACAAAAGCUUCAGGAACGUGGCUCCUCUCGGGGAGUGUUAUAGCCUGUUGCAUAAUACCCUUCGGCGGGCUGAGGUACGCGCUCCGCAAGGAUGCUGGCGUAAUGGUCAUCAGCGAC
rnacentral:rRNA from 1 species